rnacentral:rRNA from 1 species
UACGGAGGGUGCAAGCGUUAUCCGGAUUCACUGGGUUUAAAGGGUGCGUAGGUGGGCAGGUAAGUCAGUGGUGAAAUCUCCGGGCUUAACCCGGAAACUGCCAUUGAUACUAUCUGUCUUGAAUACCCUAGAGGUGAGCGGAAUAUGUCAUGUAGCGGUGAAAUGCUUAGAUAUGACAUAGAACACCCAUUGCGAAGGCAGCUCACUACGGGAAUAUUGACACUGGGGCACGAAAGCGUGGGGAUCAAACAGG